rnacentral:rRNA from 1 species
GAUGAACGCUGGCGGCGUGCCUAAUACAUGCAAGUCGAGCGAACAGAUGAGGAGCUUGCUCCUCUGACGUUAGCGGCGGACGGGUGAGUAACACGUGGAUAACCUACCUAUAAGACUGGGAUAACUUCGUGAAACCGGAGCUAAUACCGGAUACUAUAUUGAACCGCAUGGUUCAAUAGUGACAGACGGUUUUGCUGUCACUUAUAGAUGGAUCCGCGCCGCAUUAGCUAGUUGGUAAGGUAACGGCUUACCAAGGCAACGAUGCGUAGCCGACCUGAGAGGGUGAUCGGCCACACUGGAACUGAGACACGGUCCAGACUCCUACGGGAGGCAGAAGUAGGGAAUCUACCGAACUGGGCGAAAGCCUGAAGGAGCAACGCCGCGUGGGUGAUGAAGGUCUUCGGAUCGUAAAACUCUGUUAUUAGGGAAGAACAAAUGUGUAAGUAACUAUGCACGUCUUGACGGUACCUAAACAGAAAGCCACGGCUAACUACGUG